GACGAACGCUGGCGGCGUGCUUAACACAUGCAAGUCGAACGGAAAGGCCCUGCUUUUGUGGGGUGCUCGAGUGGCGAACGGGUGAGUAACACGUGAGUAACCUGCCCUUGACUUUGGGAUAACUUCAGGAAACUGGGGCUAAUACCGGAUAGGAGCUCCUGCUGCAUGGUGGGGGUUGGAAAGUUUCGGCGGUUGGGGAUGGGCUCGCGGCUUAUCAGCUUGUUGGUGGGGUAGUGGCUUACCAAGGCUUUGACGGGUAGCCGGCCUGAGAGGGUGACCGGCCACAUUGGGACUGAGAUACGGCCCAGACUCCUACGGGAGGCAGCAGUGGGGAAUAUUGCACAAUGGGCGGAAGCCUGAUGCAGCAACGCCGCGUGCGGGAUGACGGCCUUCGGGUUGUAAACCGCUUUCGCCUGUGAUGAAGCGUGAGUGACGGUAAUGGGUAAAGAAGCACCGGCUAACUACGUG
rnacentral:rRNA from 1 species